AGGGAGAAUAAUGUGAAAUCAGGAGCCGCUGAAUAACGCAUGACGUUGGCCUCACUCCCUCUCCUGCCGGGCGGGGGCCCCCAUUGCCCCUCCCCGCACCGCACCCACCCAGCUGGGCCUCAGAAAGCCCAAGCUGCGGACCCCAGCACCAUAUCCGCUGAUUUGGGCUUUCGUGGUUUGGCCUCCACGCGGAGGUCUUCGUGGGUGGGGUCUCUGGAUCUGCACCCGCACUGAUGUAGAUGCUCAAACCAACCUUGCCGGCUGCCUCCUCUCACACACACAGAUGCGCAAGGUCAAAGCUAGGUCUCCAUUAUGACCCCUUCCGCACACACACAGACACACAGACCCACAAUCACACACAGAGACACACACAACACAGACACACAGAGACAUGCAACACAUAGACAUACACUCAUACACAGACGCAUGCAUCACACAGGUACACAACCACACGCAACACACACACAGACAUACAAAACACACAGGCUCACAACCACACAGACACACACAACACACCCACACAACACAAAACUACACACAGAGACAUACAACACACGGACAUACAACCACAUGCAGAGACACACACAAAGACAUACAUGCAACACACACGGCCACAGAGAUACACAUACAGACAUACACGAAAGCACACACAGUACACAGAAACACGACACACACAGAC
rnacentral:lncRNA from 1 species